UAACGCGUGGGUGACGUACCUAUCGGUGGGGAAUAACUGCCCGAAAGAGUGGCUAAGUCCGCAUACGUCCAUUGGAGCGUACCGAUGGAGAAAACCUCGUAAGAGGUGCCGACGGAGCGGCCCGCGUUCGAUUAGCUGGUUGGUGGGGUAACGGCCUACCAAGGCGACGAUCGAUAGCUGGUCUCAGAGGAUGAUCAGCCAGACUGGGACUGAGACACGGCCCAG
rnacentral:rRNA from 1 species